UACGGGGGGUGCGAGCGUUGUCCGGAAUCAUUGGGCGUAAAGAGCGUGUAGGCGGACUGGAAGGUCUGGUGUGAAAGCCCGGGGCUCAACCCCGGAGGGUCACUGGAAACCAACAGUCUUGAAUCUGGAAGAGGAGAGUGGAAUUCCUGGUGUAGCGGUGGAAUGCGCAGAUAUCAGGAGGAACACCAAUGGCGAAGGCAGCUCUCUGGUACAUGAUUGACGCUGAGACGCGAAAGCGUGGGGAGCGAACAGG
rnacentral:rRNA from 1 species